rnacentral:rRNA from 1 species
AUUGAACGCUGGCGGCAUGCUUUACACAUGCGAGUCGAACGGUAACAGGCCGCAAGGUGCUGACGAGUGGCGAACGGGUGAGUAAUGCAUCGGAACGUGCCCAGUCGUGGGGGAUAACGCAGCGAAAGCUGCGCUAAUACCGCAUACGAGCGGUGGCUGAACGCGGGGGACCGAAAGCCCGCGCGCGAUUGGAGGCGCCGAUGUCAGAGUAGGUAGUGGGUGGGGUAAAGGCCCACCAAGCCAACGAGCUGUAGCUGGUCUGAGAGGACGAACAGCCACACUGGGACUGAGACACGGCCCAGACUCCUACGGGAGGCAGCAGUGGGGAAUUUUGGACAAUGGGCGCAAGCCUGAUCCAGCAAUGCCGCGUGCAGGAAGAAGGCCUUCGGGUUGUAAACUGCUUUUGUACGGAACGAAACGGCUCUGGUUAAUACCUGGGGCUAAUGACGGUACCGUAAGAAUAAGCACCGGCUAACUACGUGCCAGCAGCCGCCGUAACAC